GCCCGCCCCGGCUCCUCUUGCGGUUCCCCCCGGCCUGCGCGGAGCUCCACCACCCGCCCUGGCGCCGGCGGCCCCGCGUCGUCAACAGCGCGAGGUGUCGGGUGGCCCAGGGUGUUUGGGCCGCACCGGGAGGCUGUUGGAAUGACAAGGACGUCCCCGGGGCCAAACGAAAACAACCCCACCCCCUGCGGCGCCACCCGGCUGGGAGCGGAGAGAGACUGACGGCGGAGGCGGGGGUCAGGGCGCGGACCCGGACCCCAGCCCCAUGGGGGACAGAGUCCAAAAAAACCGGCCGGGUGGAGGAUGCAGCCGGGCGUGGUGGCUACAAGGAAGUGCCCUGGUGUUAAGAACUCAGCCUCUGAAACCCGCCGCCCAGCUUCGAGUCAGCGACGUACUUUUGUUGUCCCGGCCUUAGUAUCCCCGCUGCAAUAAGAGGUACUCAGCUCAAACCAUCUGGGUGAGGAUUAAAGGAGUUCAUAUCCAUAAAGGACUAGAACAGGUCCUGGCACCACGUAAACAUUCUUAUCAUCAAAUGUGAAAAAACAAAGUUCUCUAAGAUUUCGAAAGUGAACAGGUUAUUUUUCUACGGAGUAUUUGUGUCUGUUUCAACGUAAAAUUCAAGAUUUUUCUUUGUGAUUGAUGAAUGCGUGCUACUUUAGGAAUCUAGUGACUUUUGAAC
rnacentral:lncRNA from 10 species